CCUACGGGUGGCAGCAGUGAGGGAUAUUGGUCAAUGGACGCAAGUCUGAACCAGCCAUGCCGCGUGCAGGAAGACGGCUCUAGGAGUUGUAAACUGCUUUUGUACGAGGGUAAAUCCCGAUACGUGUAUCGGGGUGAAAGUAUCGUACGAAUCAGGAUCGGCUAACUCCGUGCCAGCAGCCGCGGUAAUACGGAGGAUUCAAUCGUUAUCCGGAUUUAUUGGGUUUAAAGGGUGCGUAGGCGGUUCGGUAAGUUAGAGGUGAAAUCCCGGGGCUCAACUCCGGAACUGCCUUGGAUACUGGCGGGCUAGAGUUUAGUUGCGGUAGGCGGAAUGUAUGGUGUAGCGGUGAAAUGCAUAGAGAUCAUGCAGAACACCGAUUGCGAAGGCAGCUUACCAAACUACGACUGACGUUGAGGCACGAAAGCGUGGGGAGCAAACAGGAUUAGAUACCCUUGUAGUC
rnacentral:rRNA from 1 species